rnacentral:rRNA from 1 species
UACGAAGGGGGCUAGCGUUGCUCGGAUUUACUGGGCGUAAAGCGCACGUAGGCGGCUUUGCAAGUUAGAGGUGAAAGCCCAGGGCUUAACCCUGGAAUUGCCUUUAAAACUGCAUCGCUAGAAUUGUGGAGAGGUAAGUGGAAUUCCGAGUGUAGAGGUGAAAUUCGUAGAUAUUCGGAAGAACACCAGUGGCGAAGGCGACUUACUGGACACAUAUUGACGCUGAGGUGCGAAAGCGUGGGGAGCAAACAGG